rnacentral:rRNA from 1 species
AUUGAACGCUGGCGGCAGGCUUAACACAUGCAAGUCGAGCGGGGGAAGGUAGCUUGCUACCGGACCUAGCGGCGGACGGGUGAGUAAUGCUUAGGAAUCUGCCUAUUAGUGGGGGACAACAUCUCGAAAGGGAUGCUAAUACCGCAUACGUCCUAUGGGAGAAAGCAGGGGAUCUUCGGACCUUGCGCUAAUAGAUGAGCCUAAGUCGGAUUAGCUAGUUGGUGGGGUAAAGGCCUACCAAGGCGACGAUCUGUAGCGGGUCUGAGAGGAUGACCCGCCACACUGGGACGGAGACACGGCCCAGACGCCUACGGGAGGCAGCAGUGGGGAAUAUUGGACAAUGGGGGGAACCCUGAUCCAGCCAUGCCGCGUGUGUGAAGAAGGCCUUAUGGUUGUAAAGCACUUUAAGCGAGGAGGAGGCUACUUUAGUUAAUACCUAGAGAUAGUGGACGUUACUCGCAGAAUAAGCACCGGCUAACUCUGUGCCAGCAGCCGCGGUAA